rnacentral:rRNA from 1 species
AGUGCGAAACCCUCCACGAGAAGAGAUCUCCUCCAUUUCGAUGGUAAGGCUCGUGGGAGACUACCACGUAGAUAGGCCGGAGGUGUAAGUAUGGUGACAUACUCAGCUGACCGGUACUAAUCGGCCGAAAGCUUGGUCA